UACGAAGGGGGCUAGCGUUGUUCGGAUUUACUGGGCGUAAAGCGCACGUAGGCGGAUCGUUAAGUCGGGGGGUGAAAUCCUGGAGCUCAACUCCAGAACUGCCUUCGAUACUGGCGAUCUUGAGUCUGGAAGAGGUGAGUGGAACUCCUAGUGUAGAGGUGGAAUUCGUAGAUAUUAGGAAGAACACCAGUGGCGAAGGCGGCUCACUGGUCCGGUACUGACGCUGAGGUGCGAAAGCGUGGGGAGCAAACAGG
rnacentral:rRNA from 1 species